rnacentral:rRNA from 1 species
GGGGGAUAUUGCGCAAUGGGGGCAACCCUGACGCAGCAACGCCGCGUGAAGGAUGAAGGUUUUCGGAUUGUAAACUUCUUUUAUUAAGGACGAAACUUGACGGUACUUAAUGAAUAAGCUCCGGCUAACUACGUGCCAGCAGCCGCGGUAAUACGUAGGGAGCAAGCGUUGUCCGGAUUUACUGGGUGUAAAGGGUGCGUAGGCGGCUUUGCAAGUCAGAUGUGAAAUCUAUGGGCUCAACCCAUAAACUGCAUUUGAAACUGUAGAGCUUGAGUGAAGUAGAGGCAGGCGGAAUUCCCCGUGUAGCGGUGAAAUGCGUAGAGAUGGGGAGGAACACCAGUGGCGAAGGCGGCCUGCUGGGCUUUAACUGACGCUGAGGCACGAAAGCGUGGGUAGCAAACAGGAUUAGAUACCCUGGUAGUCCACGCUGUAAACGAUGAUUACUAGGUGUGGGGGGUCUGACCCCUUCCGUGCCGGAGUUAACACAAUAAGUAAUCCACCUGGGGAGUACGGCCGCAAGGUUGAAACUCAAAGGAAUUGACGGGGGCCCGCACAAGCAGUGGAGUAUGUGGUUUAAUUCGAAGCAACGCGAAGAACCUUACCAGGUCUUGACAUCCAACUAACGAAGUAGAGAUACAUUAGGUGCCCUUCGGGGAAAGUUGAGACAGGUGGUGCAUGGUUGUCGUCAGCUCGUGUCGUGAGAUGUUGGGUUAAGUCCCGCAACGAGCGCAACCCUUGCUAUUAGUUGCUACGCAAGAGCACUCUAAUAGGACUGCCGUUGACAAAACGGAGGAAGGUGGGGACGACGUCAAAUCAUCAUGCCCCUUAUGACCUGGGCUACACACGUACUGCAAUGGAUGUUAACAGAGGGAAGCAAGACAGCGAUGUGGAGCAAACCCCUAAAAACAUUCUCAGUUCAGAUUGCAGGCUGCAACCCGCCUGCAUGAAGAUGGAAUUGCUAGUAAUCGCGGAUCAGCAUGCCGCGGUGAAUACGUUCCCG